GACGAACGCUGGCGGCGUGCCUAAUACAUGCAAGUAGAACGCUGAAGGAGGAGCUUGCUUCUCUGGAUGAGUUGCGAACGGGUGAGUAACGCGUAGGUAACCUGCCUGGUAGCGGGGGAUAACUAUUGGAAACGAUAGCUAAUACUGCAUAAUAGUAGAUGUUGCAUGACAUUUACUUAAAAGGUGCAAUUGCAUCACUACCAGAUGGACCUGCGUUGUAUUAGCUAGUUGGUGGGGUAACGGCUCACCAAGGCGACGAUACAUAGCCGACCUGAGAGGGUGAUCGGCCACACUGGGACUGAGACACGGCCCAGACUCCUACGGGAGGCAGCAGUAGGGAAUCUUCGGCAAUGGACGAAAGUCUGACCGAGCAACGCCGCGUGAGUGAAGAAGGUUUUCGGAUCGUAAAGCUCUGUUGUAAGAGAAGAACGAGUGUGAGAGUGGAAAGUUCACACUGUGACGGUAUCUUACCAGAAAGGGACGGCUAACUACGUG
rnacentral:rRNA from 1 species